AUGAAAAAAGUAGUAAUUUUUUUAUUCUAAAAAUUGCCAUGCUUAGAAUAUAUGUAGUAAGUUUUUAAAAGUGAAUAACACUACUGAUGUUUUGUAUUUUUUUAUUUAAAUUGGGUUAUACUGGCUCUGUGUUGCCAUUUGACUUAAAUAUAACUGAGUGGGGGGUGGUGAGGAGAUCUUACUUUUUACUGGGAGAAGGAUUAUUGGGGACAAAACUCCUUAGGGAGAAAAUGUCCUCAAAAGUCUGUCUAAAUACUUGAAAUCUCAUUUGCUAUCUGAGAAAAUGUGUAAAAAGAAUCACUAGGCUGCAGAUUUCUCAAGCAAUCUUUUGUUUAAGUCUAACUCUCUUUGGUGGUCCUGUGGGCACACUGGGGUCUCUGCCGAGUUGAUAAUUCAUUUCACACGUUUGCACCUGCUCUGCAGCCUGACUGAGAGGGCGCAACUGCUCAAGAACGUCUUUAAGAAGAACCACGUGAACUUGUACCGCUCUGAAUCCUUGCAACAAAACCUGCUCCAUGGGUAUGCGUUCUCUCAAGAUGAAAAUGGAAUCGUUU
rnacentral:sRNA from 1 species